UUGAUCUCAAAUCAGGUAGGAUUACCCGCUGAACUUAAGCAUAUCAAUAAGCGGAGGAAAAGAAACUAACGAGGAUUCCCCUAGUAACUGCGAGUGAAGCGGGAAGAGCUCAAAUUUAAAAUCUGGCGUGCCUCUGGCCGUCCGAGUUGUAGUCUGGAGAAGCGUUUUCUGUGUUGGACCGUGUAUAAGUCUCUUGGAACAGGGCGUCAUAGAGGGUGAGAAUCCCGUCUUUGACACGGACUACCAAUGCUUUGUGAUGCGCUCUCAAAGAGUCGAGUUGUUUGGGAAUGCAGCUCAAAAUGGGUGGUAAAUUCCAUCUAAAGCUAAAUAUAGGCGAGAGACCGAUAGCGAACAAGUACCGUGAGGGAAAGAUGAAAAGCACUUUGG
rnacentral:rRNA from 1 species